UAUUCUCCUUAAUAAAAUCAUCACCUUAAACAUUUACAAAUGAUAGAUAAGCACCAAAGAGACGAACUCUCAGAAACAUUCAAGGGAAAAAAAUAAAAAUACACAAAACAUAUAAUCCAAUUUUAAUAAUCCCAUGACUAUCUUUGAUCCCAAACACAUCUGAGACUGUCUUUCUCAUAAGUGCAUAUAAACGAGCUGAUCUUUUCCUGGCUCCAAGAUCCAUUACAUAAGUCACAUUCGAUUUUCCAGUUUCAUCAACCUUUUCUUGUUUAGAUAAGAUAAUCAACUUCAAUAAGUAACUUUAUCAAUGUACUAAAACUCUCACUAAAUAUGCCAACUACCAACUCCAGAUCAGUUUACCAAUCUGAUUGAAAAAUCCAGAUCAAUCUCUUGCACCCUGCAAAUAAAAAAUAACAAUCAUUAGAAACCAACACGGGACAUAAGUUCCAAUUUAUGUGUUUUACGAUUAACAUAAAAUUUACGAUUAUUUAUAUAUUUUAACAUACACAACAGAUUUCCCAUGUAAUAUAUUACCAACAGUUAAUCCAUUCUUAUUUCUGAAACCGAGACGAGUCACUAAAGAAAGCAACACGGAUCAUAAGUUGAUAUAUAUAUAUAUAUAUAUAUAUAUAUAUAUAUAUAUAUAUAUAUAUAUUUAUUUAUUGGUCUCGGGAAGGCGCAAGAUAAUAAAUAUUUCUUUUAAAAGACGUGGCCCUUGGCCUCAGGAAGGCGCAGGCAUUUAAACACUGUUUGACUGGAAUUGUUUAAGAGUUCAAUACCUAAAGUUUUUUUAUUGGAAGAAUAAUUCCCAAAUAAAUAUAAGUGUGAAACUUAUUACCUAGAAAAAAUAAAUAUUGUUAUUUACAUAUCCGCAUUCUCAUAACAAACAAAAAAAUAUGAUUUUACCCUUACUAAUUCUUAUUAAUUAUAUAUAUAUAUAUAUAUAUAUAUAUAUAUAAUACAAUUUUCCUUUUAAAUAAUUAAAGAAAAUCCAAUUGGACUGGUUUAGAUUACAAACUACAAUCUAAUAUCUUAAAAUCAACCUAAACAGGAAUACACCACAUCUUUUGCUGGAAAAUCUUUCAACAUAUCACUUUGUCCAAAGCGAUGUGUAGAAAGCGUUUUCAGCAAAAUAGGUGGUGUAUUCCGGUUUAGGUUGAUUUUGUAAAUAUUUGAUUUUAGUUUGGUGAACCGGAGUAGACCACAUAUGUUUCUGGAAUAGCUUUCACCACAUCGGUUUGGUGAAGAUCAAAGCUUUCAUACCCAGAAAGAUGAUUUAUCGCUGAGAAAAAUCCCAUCCUACCCAAAUAUCAAGAUUCCAUGUGAGAGAAAAUAUUCUUCUACGCUCCUUUAAAAUCCUCAUCUUCUUUGAAAUCUUCUAAUUCUUUCUAGAAAAUCAGGAAAAUAAUAGAUCAGAACAUGAUACUCAAUGGACUCAAAUGAAAGAUUUUCAUAUAGGGAAACUAACAAAGAGAGAGAUGCAAAGAGACAUAUACCUAACUCCAUAAUGAAGUAUCUUCAAGUGGUAGUGACUAGCGACGACAAACCACCGUGAAGAGGAAGGGGAGGAAGUGGCGAACCACGGUGAACAAGAAGAGGACAAGCGGCUACCUUGAA
rnacentral:lncRNA from 1 species